GCUGGGCGUGGUGGCGCAUGCCUGUAAUCCCAGCUACUUGGGAGGCUGAGGUAGGAGAAUCGCUUGAACCUGGGAGGCGGAGGUUGCAGUGAACCUAGAUCGCACCAUUGCACUCCAGCCUGGGUUACAGAGCGAGACUCCAUUUCAA
rnacentral:SRP_RNA from 1 species